CGUUGCACAUACUGUGGCAGUGCCAGAGGAAAAGAGCCUUGGUGUUGUGCUGUAAGAGGUUCCUCCAGAAGAAACGGUGGCGUUCCUGUGUGCUUGAAACGCUAUGGCAUCAGAAGUGGAGGAGCAGGAUGAUGAAGAUUUCAAGCCUUGGCACAUUACUGCAAGAUCCUUCAGCUCUGCCAGAGCCUUGGUGAGAGCUGCCAGAGUGCAGAGGGAGGCAGCCCUUCGGACAGGCAUCCCUGCUCCCUCAGAGCCAUGGUUAUGGGACAAACACCCUCAUCCCUGAGGCUGGAGAUGGGCAGGAAAAGCCCAAAAGGAAGGCUGAGAGUCCAGCCCACUGCCCAGUAAGGCAGUGCCAGAAGAAUGUGUCCCAGGAGCAAAUAUGCUGGAGCUGCCAAUUGCCAGUGCGUGGCUCUGAGGAAAAUGCAGUUGUGGCAUGGGAGAAGAGAGAGCCUUGGUGUGGUGCUGGACAAGAUCCUUAAGUAGCAAUGGCAGCAUUGUGUUAGCUCAGUCUCUGGAGCAGUCAGUUCAGAAGCAGGAGCAGUGUUGUAUACCUCGACACUCUGGCCUUUGAAGCGAGGACCUCGGCUCUCCACUGGUGAAGGGAAGUUAAACUGUGGGACUGGGGACAUUUACAAAGCACCAGCUUAUCUCCUCCCUGGAGAUAAGGGGUAGAGAUACCUUAAGAAGCGGGCAGAUAAAGGCAGAGUCGCUCUCUCUCUGGUCUUCAGAGGAGGACGGUCGGAGCUGCUGCUUGGGGAAGGGAAUUCGCUGCCACCGCCGCAACUCAGUCCAGAGCUGCUGCUGCUUCGUCUUCUUCUGUGGGAUGAGCCUCUGCUCGUGAGAGCAGCCACUGACCCGGGACCGUAUUGACACCUUACCUCGCUAAAAGGUAUCACCAUCACCAUCUGCUGGCGUUCCCGGGAAUCCCGAGCUCGCCUCUCGCUGCUCUGGGUUUCUCUGCGCUGUAGCCCCGCACCCCCUGCCCUGCUGGGACAUCCAGCAGCUCUAGCUACAUCCGCGGAGCUUCUGAGACAUCUCAUCCACCAGCCCGGGACUGCUGCUCAUUCCGGCCGUGCCCUGCCGUCAGCAGUGCAGGAGAAUGAAGAUGAACAUCUCCAGCCCUGGGAUAUUUCUGUCAAGAGCCUUCACCCCUCCAAGAAUCGCCGUGAGAGCUUCUGGACUGCAGAGGGAGGCAGCCCUUUGGAGAAGUAAAAAUGGGAUCCCAGCUCUCUCCAAGAUGAUUUUCCUAGAGGCUUGUGUCCCAGCAGGAAGUAUCUCGGAGCUACUAGUUGGUAGCCUACAACUCUCAGGACACUGUCACUG